rnacentral:sRNA from 1 species
ACUCCUGAGGGAGCAGUGCCAGUCGAAGACCGAGGCUGAGACGGCACCCUAGGAAGGGACCCAUCAUCAAAAAUUCUAUUUAUAGAAUUUUACAG